rnacentral:rRNA from 1 species
AUUGAACGCUGGCGGCAUGCCUUACACAUGCAAGUCGAACGGCAGCACGGACUUCGGUCUGGUGGCGAGUGGCGAACGGGUGAGUAAUGCAUCGGAACGUGCCAUUGAGUGGGGGAUAACGUAGCGAAAGUUGCGCUAAUACCGCAUAUUCUGUGAGCAGGAAAGCAGGGGACCGCAAGGCCUUGCGCUCUUUGAGCGGCCGAUGUCAGAUUAGCUAGUUGGUGAGGUAAAGGCUUACCAAGGCGACGAUCUGUAGCGGGUCUGAGAGGAUGAUCCGCCACACUGGAACUGAGACACGGUCCAGACUCCUACGGGAGGCAGCAGUGGGGAAUUUUGGACAAUGGGGGCAACCCUGAUCCAGCCAUGCCGCGUGAGUGAAGAAGGCCUCGG